UACGUAGGGUGCAAGCGUUAUCCGGAAUUAUUGGGCGUAAAGAGCUCGUAGGCGGUUUGUCGCGUCUGCUGUGAAAACCCGGAGCUCAACUCCGGGCCUGCAGUCGAGUACGGGCAGACUGGAGUUCGGCAGGGGAGACUGGGAAUUCCUGGUGUAGUGGUGAAAUGCGUGAGAGAUCGGGAGGAACACCUGUGGCGAAGGCGGCUCGCUGGGCCGGUCCUGACGCUGAGACGCGAAGGCGUGGGGAGCGAACGGG
rnacentral:rRNA from 1 species